rnacentral:rRNA from 1 species
UACGAAGGGGGCGAGCGUUGUUCGGAAUUACUGGGCGUAAAGGGCGCGCAGGCGGUCUCAGGAGUCAGAUGUGAAAGCCCCGGGCUCAACCUGGGAAUGGCAUUUGAUACUCUGAGGCUGGAGUACGGGAGAGGAGAGUGGAAUUCCCAGUGUAGAGGUGAAAUUCGUAGAUAUUGGGAAGAACACCGGUGGCGAAGGCGGCUCUCUGGACCGUAACUGACGCUGAGGCGCGAAAGCGUGGGGAGCAAACAGG